AUGCACUGGCUCUCCUGGAAGAAAUUGGCGUCAUCAAAAGAAACAGGAGGGAUGGGGUUCCGUGACCUCAAGGCAUUCAAUAUUGCUCUGCUGGGGAAGCACGGGUGGAGGUUUAUGCUGCAUCCCGAUACAUUAUGUUCUCGGGUAAUGAAGAGCAGAUAUUUCUCUAACUCGGAGUUUAUGGCUGCAGCAGUUCCAAAAAUGGCGUCACUUAUUUGGAGAGCAAUUGUGGCCGGCCGAGAGGCUCUGAAGUUAGGCUUGAUUAAGCGGGUUGGGUAUGGAACCACGAUCUCCAUCCGGCAAGACCAGUGGAUCCCCGACAUUAUGUCGAUGACCCCUAUAUUUAAACCAGUGAACACGACACUCCAGCUUGUGAAUGAGUUGAUCGAUCAGGAGAGCUGGAUGUGGCGACAUGAUCUGGUUCGUGGAACUUUUCUGGCACCAGAUGCUGAAGCAAUAUUGAACAUUCCGUUACGCAGUGGUGGUAUGUUAUUUUAUUGUGUUCCGAAUCCCAUACAAGUGUUAUUACGGAUGGAGUCCUCCCGGACUACGGCAUGCCAACCGUGCUAG
rnacentral:rRNA from 1 species